GGUACUCGAGUGGCGAACGGGUGAGUAACACGUGGGUGAUCUGCCCUGCACUUCGGGAUAAGCCUGGGAAACUGGGUCUAAUACCGGAUAGGAGCCAUUUUUAGUGUGAUGGUUGGAGAGUUUUUCGGUGUAGGAUGAGCUCGCGGCCUAUCAGCUUGUUGGUGGGGUAAUGGCCUACCAAGGCGGCGACGGGUAGCCGGCCUGAGAGGGUGGACGGCCACAUUGGGACUGAGAUACGGCCCAG
rnacentral:rRNA from 1 species